GGCGAGAAAUCCCCAACGGAAGGAGCAGCAGCGCCAGUGCUACUGCAACGACAGCGAUUCCUUCCUCAUUCCUCGUACCUCUCGCCGCGCUCGCCCACUCGGAUCGAAACCCCUAGGGUUUCGCAUCGGCCUCCCGCCACUUCCUAUCCCUCCCCCCUUCCCUCCCUCCGCUGCGCGCGCGUGGCGAGCCACCAAAGGCUAGGACGGCAAAUCCGGUGCGAUCGCCCACGGUGGAGGCCUCGUCGGCUGCAGAGAGGAGCCGCUCUGCUUGAGAAGGCCCUCGGUGACCAGUUCCCGGAAGGCGAGCGCUACUUCGGCCUCGAGAACUUCGGCAACACCUGCUACUGCAACAGUGUCCUUCAGGAUGGCUGGCAUGGAGCUUAUCGACCCUGUUUUUGACCAAGAGACACAGCUCCAACUUGCAUGACGGGAAGCUUUCUAAAGCCUAGUGUCUUCAUACCUACGAUGACUUGUGCUUACUUGAUGGCUUCCACGUCUACGUGUUGCUGGUCUACUUCCAUUUGUACGCCUGGUUGAGCAACAUAGGCAUAUGAGUGCGAGUUCUCUGAUGGACCGUGCACUCCUCUCUGCUUGGCUGGACCGCUGGCAACCGGAGACGCAUGCGUUCCACCUCCCCUGCAAGACGUCACCAUGCUCUUUGGUCUACCUCUCGACGGUACCCCGAUCGGCCCAGUUGUCGUGGUGCCAUCAGACUGGGACAAGCAACUCCUGCACGCUUUGUAAAUGACUAUGUAUUAUAUUUGUCUUUUCUAAACCUCGAAGGAUCAGGUGUUUACAAUUUGUUGUUUGCGUAUGAUAAAACUUGUGUGAGAUUCUGUACAAUGUCAAUAUUACAUUAGUAGUUUGUUUGUUAAGACAAUUUAAUUAUAUAGCAAUAUUAACAAUAUAAUUGUUCGAUGUA